GCUAUCAACUCUAACUAAACUUACACAUGCAAGUAUCCGCACCCCCGUGAGAAUGCCCUACCGUUUCCUGCUCGGAAACAAGGAGCUGGUAUCAGGCACAAACUAGCCCACGACGCCUUGCUCAGCCACACCCCCAAGGGAGUUCAGCAGUGAUAAAUAUUAAGCCAUGAGUGAAAACUUGACUUAGUUAGUGCUAAGAGGGCCGGUAAAUCUCGUGCCAGCCACCGCGGUUAUACGAGAGACCCAAGUUGAUAGCCUUCGGCGUAAAGAGUGGUUAAGAUAAACUGGACUAAAGCCGAACAACUUCAAAGCUGUUAUACGCACACGAACCUCUGAAGCUCAACUACGAAAGUAGCUUUACCCAAUGACCCCACGAAAGCUAAGACACAAACUGGGAUUAGAUACCCCACUAUGCUUAGCCCUAAACAUCGAUAAUAAGUUACCUAUUUAUCCGCCCGGGAACUACGAGCACUAGCUUAAAACCCAAAGGACUUGGCGGUGCUUUAGAUCCACCUAGAGGAGCCUGUUCUAGAACCGAUAAUCCCCGUUAAACCUCACCUUUCCUUGUCUAAACCGCCUAUAUACCGCCGUCGUCAGCUUACCCUGUGAAGACCCUAAAGUAAGCAAAACCGGUACACCCCAAAACGCCAGGUCGAGGUGUAGCGAAUGGAAGGGGAAGAGAUGGGCUACAUUCAAUAAAUAGUGAAUACGAACGGCACCUUGAAAGAGUGCCCGAAGGAGGAUUUAGUAGUAAGCGGAGAAUAGAGUGCUCCACUGAAAUUGGCCCUGAAGCGCGUACACACCGCCCGUCACUCUCCCCGAGCUUACAAAACGAAUCACUAAUAAAUUUAAACCACUAAGGGGAGGC
rnacentral:ncRNA from 1 species